CCCUCACCGCCCAGCUGGGAUGUCAGGGCUUCCUUUCCUGUCCUCCUCCAGGAUGGGGUCAACCACCAUCCUCGCCCUCCUCCUCCUGGCUGUUCUCCAAGGUGUCUGUGCUGAGGUGCAGCUGGUGCAGUCUGGAGCAGAGGUGAAAAGGCCCGGGGAGUCGCUGAAGAUCUCCUGUAGGGCUUCUGGAUACAGCUUUAACAGCUACUGGAUCAGCUGGGUGCGACAGAUGCCCGGAAAAGGCCUGGAGUGUAUGGGGAGGAUCUAUCCUGGUGACUCUGAUACCAGAUACAGCCCGUCCUUCCAAGGCCACGUCACCAUCUCAGCCGACAAGUCCAGCAACACCGCCCACCUGCAGUGGAGCAGCCUGAAGGCCUCGGACGCUGCCAUGUAUUACUGUGCGAGAGAUUUGACUACUGGGGCCAGGGGACCCUGGUCACCGUCUCCUCAGCCUCCACCAAGAAUCCAGAUGUCUUCCCCCUGACACCCUGCGGCACCUCUGGGACCACAACGGCCCUGGGCUGCCUGGUCAAGGACUACUUCCCCGAGCCAGUGACCGUGUCCUGGAACUCAGGCGCCCUGACCAGUGGCGUGCACACCUUCCCUGCUGUCCUGCGGUCCUCGGGACUUUACUCCCUCAGCAGCAUGGUGACCACCAGCAGCGCGGGCAGCCAGACCUACACCUGCAACGUCGUCCACACGCCCACCGGCUUCAAGAAGGACGUGCCAGUGCCAUUGAAACCUAAUGGCUCAUCACACUGUCCCCCAUGCCCAGCACCUGAAUUCCUGGGGGGACCAUCAGUCUUCCUCUUCCCCCCAAAACCCAAGGACGUCCUCAGGAUCACCGGAACCCCUGAGGUCACUUGCGUGGUGGUGGAUGUGAGCCAGGACGACCCUGAGGUCCAGUUCAAUUGGUACGUGGACGGCGUGGAGGUGCGCACUGCCAAGACGAGUCCGAGGGAGGAGCAGCACAACAGCACGUUCCGCGUGGUCAGCGCCCUCCCUGUCCUGCACCAGGACUGGCUGAAGGGCAAGGAGUACAGAUGCAAGGUCACCAACAAAGCCCUCCCGGCCCCCGUCCAGAAAACCAUCCACAAAGCCAAAGGGACGCCCCGAGAGCCGCAGGUGUACACCCUGCCCCCAGCGCGGGAGGAGAUGAGCAGGAGCCGGGUCAGCCUGACCUGCCUGAUCCAAGGCUUCUACCCCAGCGACAUCGCCGUGGAGUGGGAGAGCAACGGGCAGCCGGAGAACAACUACAAGAACACGCAGCCCGUGCUGGACUCCGACGGCUCCUUCUUCCUCUACAGCAAGCUCACCGUGGACAAGCAGAGGUGGCAGCAGGGGAGCGUCUUCUCGUGCUCCGUGAUGCACGAGGCUCUGCACAACCACUACACGCAGAAGAGCCUCUCCGCGUCUCCGGAGCUGAUAGUGGAGGAGAGCUGUGUGGAGGCGCAGGACGGGGAGCUGGACGGGCUGUGGACAACCAUCACCAUCUUCAUCACACUCUUCCUGCUGAGUGUGUGCUACAGUGCCACCGUCACCUUCUUCAAGGUCAAGUGGAUCUUCUCCUCAGUGGUGGACCUAAAGCAGACCAUCGUCCCCGACUACAGGAACAUGAUCGGGCAGGGGGCCUAGGGCCACCCUCUGCUGGAAGUGCAGGGCUGCCCAGACCUCACACAGGAGCCAUGGGCCACACUCAGCCACUGCCCAGGCCAUGCCUGCCCCUGACCUCACUGCCCUCGACCCCGUGGCUCUCUGGCCUCGCAGUCGCUCUCUGACCUGCCACACCCGAUGCGCCCCCGUUUGAGCUUGUGCAUAGCAGGUCUGUCCCAGAUCUCUGCUGCUUGGUGCAUGCAGGGCGCUGGGGCCAGGUGUCCCCUCAGCACGACACCUCUGCCCUCCAGCCCCCCAGCUGCUCACACAAAAGGAGGCAGCGGCCAGCAUCCCAGGCACCCACCCAGGCAGGAACCAGCCUGGAGCCAACCCCGUCCACACCAGUCUCCUCAACACAGACAUGGCCAGUGGAAGCUUCCGCCACCAAGCCGGGAAGUCACAGCACCCUCGGGCCCUGCUGGGGAGGCUUUGGAGAGCAGAGAAUGCUCAGGUGGCCCUCCUCCCAGCCCGAGGCCAGCCAGGCUCCAUUCUGGGCAGUCCCGUGAACUCCUGACGUGAGGAAUGAGGGUAAAGAACCCUGUUCUCUGGCUCCUGGGAAGACGCCUCCCACGGAGCAGGGUCUCAGGUGCCAGCACCGCCUCUUGGCUGCCUGCUCACGCUGCUGCAUUCUCAGGACUGGAACUCGACCCGCAGGGACAGGCAGCCUCAGAGUCUGCACUGGGAA